rnacentral:rRNA from 1 species
UGCCGCGUGAGUGAUGAAGGCCUUCGGGUCGUAAAGCUCUUUUACCAGGGAUGAUAAUGACAGUACCUGGAGAAUAAGCUCCGGCUAACUCCGUGCCAGCAGCCGCGGUAAUACGGAGGGAGCUAGCGUUGUUCGGAAUUACUGGGCGUAAAGCGCACGUAGGCGGUUACUCAAGUCAGAGGUGAAAGCCCGGGGCUCAACCCCGGAACUGCCUUUGAAACUAGGUGACUGGAAUCUUGGAGAGGCGAGUGGAAUUCCGAGUGUAGAGGUGAAAUUCGUAGAUUUUCGGAAGAACGCCAGUGGCGAAGGCGACUCGCUGGACAAGUAUUGACGCUAAGGUGCGAAAGCGUGGGGAGCAAACAGGAUUAGAUACCCUGGUAGUCCACGCCAUAAACGAUGAUUACUAGCUGUCCGGGCACUUGGUGUUUGGGUGGCGCAGCUCACGCAUUAAGUUAUCCGCCUGGGGAGUACGGUCGCGAGAUUAAAACUCAAAGGAAUUGACGGGGGCCUGCUCAAGCGGUGGAGCAUGUGGUUUAAUUCCAAGCAACGCACAUAACCUUACCAGCCUUUGACAUCCCGCGCUACAUCGAGAGAUCGAUGGUUCCUUUCGGGGACGCGGUGA